rnacentral:rRNA from 1 species
AUUGAACGCUGGCGGCAGGCCUAACACAUGCAAGUCGAACGGUAGCACAGAGAGCUUGCUCUCGGGUGACGAGUGGCGGACGGGUGAGUAACGUCUGGGAAACUGCCCGAUGGAGGGGGAUAACUACUGGAAACGGUAGCUAAUACCGCAUAACGUCGCAAGACCAAAGUGGGGGACCUUCGGGCCUCACACCAUCGGAUGUGCCCAUAUGGGAUUAGCUAGUAGGUGGGGUAAUGGCUCACCUAGGCGACGAUCCCUAGCUGGUCUGAAAGGAUGACCAGCCACACUGGAACUGAGACACGGUCCAGACUCCUACGGGAGGCAGCAGUGGGGAAUAUUGCACAAUGGGCGCGAGCCUGAUGCAGCCAUGCCGCGUGUAUGAAGAAGGCCUUCGGGUUGUAAAGUACUUUCAGCGGGGAGGAAGGCGGUGAAGUUAAUAGCUUCACCGAUUGACGUUACCCGCAGAAGAAGCACCGGCUAACUCCGUGCCAGCAGCCGCCGUAA